UUUUUUAAUUGGAAGCUUGUAUGAAUGAUUGAAUGAGAUAUAUGCUGUUUCAUAAAAAUUUAAUUAAAAUUUAAUUUUUUAGUUAAAAAGCUAAAAUAAAGUUAAAGGACGAGAAGACCCUAUAAAGUUUUAUAUUUUAUAAAUAUUAAUAUUUUUAGAUUAAUUAUUAUUUUUAUUUGUAAAUUAUUUUAUUGGGGAGAUAAUAAAAUUUAUAAAACUUUUAUUUUUUAAAACAUAAAUUAAUGAGUUUAUAUGAUCCUGUAUUAUGGAUUAAAAAAUUAAAUUACUUUAGGGAUAACAGCGUUAUUUUUUUUAAAAGUUCAUAUUUAUAAAAAAGAUUGC
rnacentral:rRNA from 1 species